AGAGUUUGAUCCUGGCUCAGGACGAACGCUGGCGGCGUGCCUAAUACAUGCAAGUCGAGCGGACAGAUGGGAGCUUGCUCCCUGAUGUUAGCGGCGGACGGGUGAGUAACACGUGGGUAACCUGCCUGUAAGACUGGGAUAACUCCGGGAAACCGGGGCUAAUACCGGAUGGUUGUUUGAACCGCAUGGUUCAAACAUAAAAGGUGGCUUCGGCUACCACUUACAGAUGGACCCGCGGCGCAUUAGCUAGUUGGUGAGGUAACGGCUCACCAAGGCAACGAUGCGUAGCCGACCUGAGAGGGUGAUCGGCCACACUGGGACUGAGACACGGCCCAGACUCCUACGGGAGGCAGCAGUAGGGAAUCUUCCGCAAUGGACGAAAGUCUGACGGAGCAACGCCGCGUGAGUGAUGAAGGUUUUCGGAUCGUAAAGCUCUGUUGUUAGGGAAGAACAAGUACCGUUCGAAUAGGGCGGUACCUUGACGGUACCUAACCAGAAAGCCACGGCUAACUACGUGCCAGCAGCCGCGGUAAUACGUAGGUGGCAAGCGUUGUCCGGAAUUAUUGGGCGUAAAGGGCUCGCAGGCGGUUUCUUUAAGUCUGAUGUGAAAGCCCCCGGCUCAACCGGGGAGGGUCAUUGGAAACUGGGGAACUUGAGUGCAGAAGAGGAGAGUGGAAUUCCACGUGUAGCGGUGAAAUGCGUAGAGAUGUGGAGGAACACCAGUGGCGAAGGCGACUCUCUGGUCUGUAACUGACGCUGAGGAGCGAAAGCGUGGGGAGCGAACAGGAUUAGAUACCCUGGUAGUCCACGCCGUAAACGAUGAGUGCUAAGUGUUAGGGGGUUUCCGCCCCUUAGUGCUGCAGCUAACGCAUUAAGCACUCCGCCUGGGGAGUACGGUCGCAAGACUGAAACUCAAAGGAAUUGACGGGGGCCCGCACAAGCGGUGGAGCAUGUGGUUUAAUUCGAAGCAACGCGAAGAACCUUACCAGGUCUUGACAUCCUCUGACAAUCCUAGAGAUAGGACGUCCCCUUCGGGGGCAGAGUGACAGGUGGUGCAUGGUUGUCGUCAGCUCGUGUCGUGAGAUGUUGGGUUAAGUCCCGCAACGAGCGCAACCCUUGAUCUUAGUUGCCAGCAUUCAGUUGGGCACUCUAAGGUGACUGCCGGUGACAAACCGGAGGAAGGUGGGGAUGACGUCAAAUCAUCAUGCCCCUUAUGACCUGGGCUACACACGUGCUACAAUGGACAGAACAAAGGGCAGCGAAACCGCGAGGUUAAGCCAAUCCCACAAAUCUGUUCUCAGUUCGGAUCGCAGUCUGCAACUCGACUGCGUGAAGCUGGAAUCGCUAGUAAUCGCGGAUCAGCAUGCCGCCGUGAAUACGUUCCCGGGCCUUGUACACACCGCCCGUCACACCACGAGAGUUUGUAACACCCGAAGUCGGUGAGGUAACCUCUAGGAGCCAGCCGCCGAAGU
rnacentral:rRNA from 1 species